rnacentral:rRNA from 1 species
UACGUAGGGGGCAAGCGUUGUCCGGAAUCAUUGGGCGUAAAGCGCGUGUAGGCGGCCCGGUAAGUCCGCUGUGAAAGUCCAGGGCUCAACCCUGGGAUGCCGGUGGAUACUGUCGGGCUCGAGUCCGGAAGAGGCGAGUGGAAUUCCUGGUGUAGCGGUGAAAUGCGCAGAUAUCAGGAGGAACACCAAUGGCGAAGGCAGCUCGCUGGGACGUGACUGACGUUGAGACGCGAAAGCGUGGGGAGCAAACAGG